GGAUGUGAGGAUGAUUUGGCUGCACCCAUUGAUGGCCAGAGUUGAUUCAGCUGAUCUGGCUGGCUAGGUAGGUGCCCCUUCCUCUCUCGCUGUUCCACAUGCAGCCCUCCUGAAGCUGCACACUGGGUCAAAGGGAGUGACUUUCCCCCAACGGAGGAGGAUGGAUCUUCAGUCAAAGAUAUUCAGAUGGCUGCACUCCCCUGUUAGAACCUCCAAACAGGCCCUCAUAAAAUCCUAAGCACACAAAACCAAAGAAUAACCUCUCCACAAAACAUCAUAAUCAAGAGAU
rnacentral:snRNA from 1 species